AUAAGCAAAAUAAGGGCGUAUGGGGAAUGCCUAGGCUCUCAGAGGCGAAGAAGGACGUGAUAAGCUGCGAAAAGCUACGGGGAUUGGCACACACGAGUUGAUCCGUAGAUAUCCGAAUGGGGCAACCCACUAUAUUGAAGAUAUAGUAUCCUGUAUAGGAGGCGAACCCGCUGAACUGAAACAUCUAAGUAGGCGGAGGAGAAGAAAACAAAAGUGAUUCCGUAAGUAGUGGCGAGCGAACGCGGAAAAGCCCAAACCAAAGUUGUUACGGCAAUUUUGGGGUUGUAGGACCACGACAUUUCUUGCGGAUUUAAUGAGAAUUACCUGGAAAGGUAAACCGAAGAGGGUGAUAGUCCCGUAUUGGUAAGAGAAGAUAAGAAUAGUGGUAUCCUGAGUAGGUCGGGGCACGUGAAACCUUGAUUGAAACUGGCGGGACCAUCCGCUAAGGCUAAAUACUCCUGAGAGACCGAUAGUGAACCAGUACCGUGAGGGAAAGGUGAAAAGAACCGUGAAUAACGGAGUGAAAUAGAUCCUGAAACCAUACGCCUACAAGCGGUCGGAGCUUCUACGUGAAGUGACGGCGUGCCUUUUGCAUAAUGAGCCUACGAGUUACCGUUGCUGGCAAGGAUAAGUGAUUAAGUCAUGGAUCCG
rnacentral:rRNA from 1 species